rnacentral:snoRNA from 1 species
AUCCUAUGCUGAGGGCAGGCCAAGAGGUAGUCUUAGAAGCGCUCCCAUGCCUCAGGGAUUGACUUAUCUGAUGCCUGCUGGAAGAUGGUAAUCCUUGAGGGA